CCUACGGGUGGCAGCAGUGGGGAAUAUUGGACAAUGGGGGGAACCCUGAUCCAGCGACGCCGCGUGAGUGAAGAAGUAUUUCGGUAUGUAAAGCUCUAUCAGCAGGGAAGAAAGAAAUGACGGUACCUGACUAAGAAGCCCCGGCUAACUACGUGCCAGCAGCCGCGGUAAUACGUAGGGGGCAAGCGUUAUCCGGAUUUACUGGGGGUAAAGGGAGCGUAGACGGCAGUGCAAGUCUGGAGUGAAAGGCGGGGGCUCAACCCCCGGACUGCUCUGGAAACUGUACGGCUGGAGUGCAGGAGAGGUAAGUGGAAUUCCUAGUGUAGCGGUGAAAUGCGUAGAUAUUAGGAGGAACACCAGUGGCGAAGGCGGCUUACUGGACUGUAACUGACGUUGAGGCUCGAAAGCGUGGGGAGCAAACAGGAUUAGAUACCCCAGUAGUC
rnacentral:rRNA from 1 species